UACGUAGGGGGCGAGCGUUAAUCGGAAUUACUGGGCGUAAAGCGUGCGCAGGCGGUUUUGUAAGUCUGCCGUGAAAUCCCCGGGCUCAACCUGGGAAUUGCGGUGGGGACUGCAAGGUUAGAGGCUGGCAGAGGGGGGUAGAAUUCCCCGUGUAGCAGUGAAAUGCGUAGAGAUGUGGAGGAACACCGAUGGCGAAGGCAGCCCCCUGGGUCAAGACUGACGCUCAUGCACGAAAGCGUGGGGAGCAAACAGG
rnacentral:rRNA from 1 species